rnacentral:tRNA from 1 species
GGCCCGGUGGUCUAGUAGUAUGAUUCUCGCUUAGGGUGCGAGAGGUCCCGGGUUCAAUUCCCGGCCGGGCCC